AUGCCUACAAUGAAAGCUGCCAAGUCUUUCACAAAGAACUGAAUAUUCCUGAAUGCAAGAUCUCCCUGAACAUCCGACCAUGAUCCACAAUGAUCAGGGGCAAGCUUGGGAAAGCAAGGAAAGCACGCGAGUAACAUUUGGGUGAGGAACACCCGCUAGCCAAUCGAGGUAAACUGAGAUAGCUUUCCUAGUUGUUGCAGGAGGCAUGGUGGUGAUAAAACGAAAGACUCUUGCAUUUCUCUUUUUUCAGAAGCUCUACACCACAAUUAUAAAUAAGCAUUCGAGAGUAGGGACAGUGAUCGGACGUGAUGAGAAUGCCUCCAUGAAACCCAAAUAUCUAGGAAGGAUUGAGACAAGUCUAAAAAACUGAAUGGAGGGAAGAUGAUAUGCCAGUAAGUUCUAGAGUAAGAGCACUACAGCAUUAAGUAGUUCAAAGUUUCAUCAGAUUCAUUACACAACGGACAAUUCCUUGAGGUAGCAAUGCCUCUUUUAAUUAGAUUCUCCUUAGUUAAGACUUUAUCAUGAAAAGCAAGCCAGAAGAAUAGCUUUGCCUUCUUUGAAAUUGGAAGGUUCCAGAACCAUUGUCC
rnacentral:lncRNA from 1 species